AUAACCGGCGAUUUCCGAAUGGGGAAACCCAGUGUGUUUCGACACACUAUCAUUAACUGAAUCCAUAGGUUAAUGAGGCGAACCGGGGGAACUGAAACAUCUAAGUACCCCGAGGAAAAGAAAUCAACCGAGAUUCCCCCAGUAGCGGCGAGCGAACGGGGAGGAGCCCAGAGCCUGAAUCAGUGUGUGUGUUAGUGGAAGCGUCUGGAAAGGCGCGCGAUACAGGGUGACAGCCCCGUACACAAAAAUGCACAUAUUGUGAGCUCGAUGAGUAGGGCGGGACACGUGGUAUCCUGUCUGAAUAUGGGGGGACCAUCCUCCAAGGCUAAAUACUCCUGACUGACCGAUAGUGAACCAGUACCGUGAGGGAAAGGCGAAAAGAACCCCGGCGAGGGGAGUGAAAAAGAACCUGAAACCGUGUACGUACAAGCAGUGGGAGCCUCUUUAUGGGGUGACUGCGUACCUUUUGUAUAAUGGGUCAGCGACUUAUAUUCUGUAGCAAGGUUAACCGAAUAGGGGAGCCGAAGGGAAACCGAGUCUUAACUGGGCGUUAAGUUGCAGGGUAUAGACCCGAAACCCGGUGAUCUAGCCAUGGGCAGGUUGAAGGUUGGGUAACACUAACUGGAGGACCGAACCGACUAAUGUUGAAAAAUUAGCGGAUGACUUGUGGCUGGGGGUGAAAGGCCAAUCAAACCGGGAGAUAGCUGGUUCUCCCCGAAAGCUAUUUAGGUAGCGCCUCGUGAAUUCAUCUCCGGGGGUAGAGCACUGUUUCGGCAAGGGGGUCAUCCCGACUUACCAACCCGAUGCAAACUGCGAAUACCGGAGAAUGUUAUCACGGGAGACACACGGCGGGUGCUAACGUCCGUCGUGAAGAGGGAAACAACCCAGACCGCCAGCUAAGGUCCCAAAGUCAUGGUUAAGUGGGAAACGAUGUGGGAAGGCCCAGACAGCCAGGAUGUUGGCUUAGAAGCAGCCAUCAUUUAAAGAAAGCGUAAUAGCUCACUGGUCGAGUCGGCCUGCGCGGAAGAUGUAACGGGGCUAAACCAUGCACCGAAGCUGCGGCAGCGACACUAUGUGUUGUUGGGUAGGGGAGCGUUCUGUAAGCCUGUGAAGGUGGCCUGUGAGGGUUGCUGGAGGUAUCAGAAGUGCGAAUGCUGACAUAAGUAACGAUAAAGCGGGUGAAAAGCCCGCUCGCCGGAAGACCAAGGGUUCCUGUCCAACGUUAAUCGGGGCAGGGUGAGUCGACCCCUAAGGCGAGGCCGAAAGGCGUAGUCGAUGGGAAACAGGUUAAUAUUCCUGUACUUGGUGUUACUGCGAAGGGGGGACGGAGAAGGCUAUGUUGGCCGGGCGACGGUUGUCCCGGUUUAAGCGUGUAGGCUGGUUUUCCAGGCAAAUCCGGAAAACCAAGGCUGAGGCGUGAUGACGAGGCACUACGGUGCUGAAGCGACAAAUGCCCUGCUUCCAGGAAAAGCCUCUAAGCAUCAGGUAACAUCAAAUCGUACCCCAAACCGACACAGGUGGUCAGGUAGAGAAUACCAAGGCGCUUGAGAGAACUCGGGUGAAGGAACUAGGCAAAAUGGUGCCGUAACUUCGGGAGAAGGCACGCUGAUAUGUAGGUGAAGCGACUUGCUCGUGGAGCUGAAAUCAGUCGAAGAUACCAGCUGGCUGCAACUGUUUAUUAAAAACACAGCACUGUGCAAACACGAAAGUGGACGUAUACGGUGUGACGCCUGCCCGGUGCCGGAAGGUUAAUUGAUGGGGUUAGCGGUAACGCGAAGCUCUUGAUCGAAGCCCCGGUAAACGGCGGCCGUAACUAUAACGGUCCUAAGGUAGCGAAAUUCCUUGUCGGGUAAGUUCCGACCUGCACGAAUGGCGUAAUGAUGGCCAGGCUGUCUCCACCCGAGACUCAGUGAAAUUGAACUCGCUGUGAAGAUGCAGUGUACCCGCGGCAAGACGGAAAGACCCCGUGAACCUUUACUAUAGCUUGACACUGAACAUUGAGCCUUGAUGUGUAGGAUAGGUGGGAGGCUUUGAAGUGUGGACGCCAGUCUGCAUGGAGCCGACCUUGAAAUACCACCCUUUAAUGUUUGAUGUUCUAACGUUGGCCCGUAAUCCGGGUUGCGGACAGUGUCUGGUGGGUAGUUUGACUGGGGCGGUCUCCUCCUAAAGAGUAACGGAGGAGCACGAAGGUUGGCUAAUCCUGGUCGGACAUCAGGAGGUUAGUGCAAUGGCAUAAGCCAGCUUGACUGCGAGCGUGACGGCGCGAGCAGGUGCGAAAGCAGGUCAUAGUGAUCCGGUGGUUCUGAAUGGAAGGGCCAUCGCUCAACGGAUAAAAGGUACUCCGGGGAUAACAGGCUGAUACCGCCCAAGAGUUCAUAUCGACGGCGGUGUUUGGCACCUCGAUGUCGGCUCAUCACAUCCUGGGGCUGAAGUAGGUCCCAAGGGUAUGGCUGUUCGCCAUUUAAAGUGGUACGCGAGCUGGGUUUAGAACGUCGUGAGACAGUUCGGUCCCUAUCUGCCGUGGGCGCUGGAGAACUGAGGGGGGCUGCUCCUAGUACGAGAGGACCGGAGUGGACGCAUCACUGGUGUUCGGGUUGUCAUGCCAAUGGCACUGCCCGGUAGCUAAAUGCGGAAGAGAUAAGUGCUGAAAGCAUCUAAGCACGAAACUUGCCCCGAGAUGAGUUCUCCCUGACUCCUUGAGAGUCCUGAAGGAACGUUGAAGACGACGACGUUGAUAGGCCGGGUGUGUAAGCGCAGCGAUGCGUUGAGCUAACCGGUACUAAUGAACCGUGAGGCUUAACCUU
rnacentral:rRNA from 2 species